rnacentral:tRNA from 1 species
UAGCCUAGUGGUUAAGGCUAUGGAUCGCCAAUCCGGGGACUGCGGGUUCGAUUCCCGU